AUAUGUAGUGCAGAGAGGAGGACCUCUGUUUGUAUCAGCGUAUCUGCCUCUUCAAACUUUAAUUGCUGCUGUUUUAGCCACUUUUGCUCUUGGUGAACACUUCUACCUUGGAGGACUGAUUGGUGCAAUACUAAUCAUGAGUGGACUGUACUUAGUUGUGAUGGGAAAGAGUUGGGAGAAUCAAGAAGCUCUUUGUCAACAACAAAGACAACAUAUGAUUUCUUCAUCAUCCGAAUUUGGUCAUGAAGAAGAUUACCAUAAUAAUUAUAAACCAAUAUCUUCUCUUAAUCAACCAUUAAUUUCUUCCUAAACUUUA